UACGAAGGGGGCUAGCGUUGUUCGGAAUUACUGGGCGUAAAGGGCGCGUAGGCGGUGUGUCAAGUCAGGCGUGAAAGCCCCGGGCUCAACCUGGGAACCGCGCUUGAGACUGGCACGCUCGAGUUCGGGAGAGGAUGGUGGAAUUCCCAGUGUAGAGGUGAAAUUCGUAGAUAUUGGGAAGAACACCGAUGGCGAAGGCAGCCAUCUGGACCGACACUGACGCUGAGGCGCGACAGCGUGGGGAGCAAACAGG
rnacentral:rRNA from 1 species